rnacentral:lncRNA from 1 species
CUCAGUCAUUACAGCUGAACGGACGUGCUGGGCCAGCUCUCCUUUACCCGCUAUCUUCGAUGAGGGUUUAUUGUUAGAUGAUUAACGACUUACUACUUAAGAUGACAGAAACCAAUCCAUGCCGUACAGAUAGACGUAGUAGUUGGCGUACCCGCGUUAACAUGCACUCCAAAACCAUUGUAUCAUGGGGAGUGUUAUGCCGAAUAACGUCCGAGGGCUGUAUCCUAGGCUGUUGGGUGAUACGACCUUCAUUUCACUGCCUCACGGCUUUGGUCCUGAUAACGCUUCCUGUCAUCUUUAGAACUACGUCCACGAUUCAUCUACCAGUACUCCAUCAUCGAGGCUAGCGGGCUGCCAAGCUGACCAAACUGGCCCUGAAAGCAGCCGUUAGUGAAGAAAUAACAUCAAAAUAGUAAACAAAGAAAAAUCUACUCACCAAAACCAAGAUGGCGGCCUCCAUUCGGCGUCCUCUACUACCAGUUCCUGACCCACGGCAGAAAAUAUUUAAAAUGCUCACCAAUCGCCUUCGGGUACCGAGCCGACCGUGCGAGGGCUGUAUAGCCAGUCAAGGUCGUUAAACACUUCCAUUUGUUG